AUUGAACGCUGGCGGCAUGCCCUACACAUGCAAGUCGAACAGUAACAGAUCUUCGGAUGCUGACGAGUGGCGAACGGGUGAGUAAUACAUCGGAACGUGCCUAGUAGUGGGGGAUAACUACUCGAAAGAGUGGCUAAUACCGCAUGAGAUCUACGGAUGAAAGCAGGGGAUCGAAAGACCUUGUGCUACUAGAGCGGCCGAUGGCAGAUUAGGUAGUUGGUGGGAUAAAAGCUUACCAAGCCGACGAUCUGUAGCUGGUCUGAGAGGACGAUCAGCCACACUGGGACUGAGACACGGCCCAGACUCCUACGGGAGGCAGCAGUGGGGAAUUUUGGACAAUGGGCGAAAGCCUGAUCCAGCAAUGCCGCGUGCAGGAUGAAGGCCUUCGGGUUGUAAACUGCUUUUGUACGGAACGAAAAGCCCUGGGUUAAUACCCUGGGGUCAUGACGGUACCGUAAGAAUAAGCACCGGCUAACUACGUGCCAGCAGCCGCCGUAAGAC
rnacentral:rRNA from 1 species